UUGCUUCAACAGUACAUAUACUAAAAUAGGAAUGAUACUGAAAAGAUUGGCAUGGCCCCUGCAUAAGGAUGACAUGCAAAUUUGUGAAGUGUUCCAUAUUUAU
rnacentral:snRNA from 1 species